UCCCCUUGGAGGCGCGUUUCGCUCCCUCCCCCCAGCACCUGCAAGGACGCAGGCUGAGCGAUGGUGCAGUCCUGCCCCCGAGUUUCAUCAUCCAGGGCCCGACGGCGGCGGCGGCGGCGUGCGGCGGGGGCGGGUAGGAUGUGGGAGUCAGGAGUCUGGGACUUGACGGCCGUUCUUACUCGUGCCGAACGUGGCCUUCCUCGUUGGCAAACGGAGAUCUGCACCUGCAAGGGUUCCCGGCACAUAGUAGGCACUCAGGAAAUGUUUCUCAAAGAAUGAACGCUCAGGACGGGGUAGCUAUCAUUUUGGGCAAAGACAUCUGCAGGCAAAGGCGUCCUGGCUCAACCAGAGAGAGAACAGAGCAAGACAGAAUGGAAGACGCCUGGUUGGAGACGCUGACGUCCACGGGAUAAGCCACUCGCCUCUCUGAGCCUCAGAGUCUCAUCUGCAAGCAGGCACAUGAGGACUCUCACAUGAGCUCUGCCAUACAGGACAUUUGGGCAAGAGUUCAGAAACGGCCCAGGCCACUAGCAGAAAAAUCCUCGGCAGCCCACUCAGUGACUGCAGCUGUUCAGCGCCCUGCAGCCCAGACAAAAUGGUUCCUGUUGCAUGUAAAUCUUGUCCCUGUGGUUAUGUAUUUAUUAAUAGGAAACUUCUAAAAGUAAAACACUCAGAGAAAUCAUCACCUUGUACAGAAAUGAACAAUACCAUAUCUUUGAAAGAUUUGCGAAUACUUUUUUUAUAUGAAUUUAAACUAGGACAUAGUGCAGCCGCGGCAAGUAGAAACAUCAUUUCUGUCUUUGGAGAAGGCUCUGUUAGUGAAAGGACUAUCCGGUGGUGGUUUGAAAAGUUUCGUUCUGGGGAUCUGAGUCUGAAAAAUGAGCCUCGAGGGAGACCCAGGUCUGUUUUAAAUGAAGAUCGGUUGAGAGCCAUGGUGGAAGCCAAGCCCCAAACGGCAAUUCGAGGCCUUGCGGCAGACUUUGGAGUUUCUGCUACCACGAUUUCUCGACACCUGGCAGCAAUAGGAAAGGUGAAAAAGUUAGACAGGUGGGUAACAUCAGGUGAUGGCUGAUCAUAAACUGAGAUGGUUAGAGAGAUGCUUAUAAGAUUCGGGAGAACUGAGACCUGCCUUGGAGAGCAUCAUGACUUUGACAGAAAAUGGGAUCGAAAGUGAUCUGGACAGUGGUUGGAUGUGGACGAAGUUCCCAAACGUGUCAAAACCAUCAUUGCAACCAAAAAAAGGUCUGGUAACGAACGUAUGGAGGUGUCCGGAAAGGGCAUUUCGUUACCGCUUUUUAUCCAAACUGCUUUUACUGUUUUAAACUAACAGUAGUAGCAUCUUAUUGUCAGGAAGUUGAAAUUAUGUAUCAAAAAUUGAUCUAGAUUCGACCACAGAAGUCGGAGGCCACCGUUUCUGAGAAACAACAUUCUCCAGUUAGGAAGCGGUGAUUGAAGGAUUUAAAUAAAUUUUAACAAACUGCAUUUUAUAAUAUGCUGUAUAUCACUUGAUAUUCGGGGAAAUUUAUCAUUUGGGGAAAUCAGUUAAUGCUAACAGUGCAUAUUUUGGUUAAAUAAAGCUUUUAUUUUUCUCAAAAA